AAACUAGGAUUUAGAUACCCUAUUAUUUAAUAAUGUAAAAUUAAAAAUUAGAGUAGUAAUAGUUAUGAUCUUGAAACUUAAAGAAUUUGGCGGUAUUUUAGUCUAUUCAGAGGAACCUGUAAUAUAAUCGAUAUUCCACGAUGAACCUUACUUAAUUUUGUGUUUUAAUUUGUAUAUCGCCGUUAUUUGAAAAUUUUAUAAGAAAAAUAAUUUUCUAAAAUUUUUAUUAAAAAAUAAAUCAGGUCAAGGUGCAGUUUAUAGUUAAGUUUUAUAUGGGUUACAAUAAAAUUAUUUAAAAUGAAUUAAAAGGUGAAAUUUCUUUUUUGAAAGUGGAUUGAUAAUAAAUUUAAAGAUAAAAAAAUGAUUUACUCUAAGAG
rnacentral:rRNA from 1 species